rnacentral:rRNA from 1 species
UACAGAGGUCUCAAGCGUUGUUCGGAUUCAUUGGGCGUAAAGGGUGCGUAGGUGGCGCCGUAAGUCGGGUGUGAAAUUUCGGAGCUUAACUCCGAAACUGCAUUCGAUACUGCGGUGCUUGAGGACUGGAGAGGAGACUGGAAUUCAUGGUGUAGCAGUGAAAUGCGUAGAGAUCAUGAGGAAGACCAGUGGCGAAGGCGGGUCUCGUGGACAGUUCCUGACACUGAGGCACGAAGGCCAGGGGAGCAAACGGGG